UCCAAUGAAUAUAGAAGAUUUUCACUGGUACCUGGCAGUUCUGAAUGCAAAAAAAAGUGAGGUACAUGUACUCGAUUCUAUGGGACAACAAAUAACGGAUCGCCGAGACCUUUAUACUACAUUAAAAGGUCUAGAAAGACAGAUUAAACUUGCAGCAAAACAUAAAGAGCUUUACCAAGGCAAGUGGUCGAACCUUGAUGUUGCAUCAUGGCCAGUUAUAGAGAAGAUCACAACACAAAUGCAAACCGAUGGGGUAUCUUGCGGGCUAUGGAUGAUAAACUAUAUGGAAUACUGGACAGGAUCCUCCCUAUCUGAUAACGUAACUCAGGU